ACAGAACGAGUCGCGUGCCCUCUGAGAGAGUGCCGCCGGUGCGUUUGCACCUGCUGAUAUUUCACCAUCGUGUCUCUCUCGUGAGAGCGAGGCUCCUCCCCCGCAGAAGGCUCUCGCGCGACUGACGCGAGACGCCUCGAGACAGCAAUUCCAACGAGAGAGGGGCACCGACGCAGGGACGUGGAAGGGGCAAUGGGGGUUGCCGAGUUGAGGGCUGAAGGGGGGCUCGAAUGCGUGCUCGCUGCUGCGCUCUGACGAGCUGCUCGCGCGACGGCGCUCCCCGAGAUCCGGAGGAACGAGGAGAGGGCGAGCGGCCGAUACGAGAAACUCUACACAUAGGCGCAAGUUUCCAAACCGUGGCUCAAAAGCAAUUCCAUUUGCCAAAUAACUUUUGGGAUCAACUGGGUUUGAAUCUUCGAUCAACGCCUACACAAUCGACCCUAAAUAUCGCGAUGAUGGAUACACAAAAUCCUACAAUAAAUUUGCAGCA